rnacentral:misc_RNA from 1 species
AAGCUCUGAUGCCCCAGGCCCUGUAUUAAAUUUUUUUCUCCCACUUGCAAUUAAUUUCAUUAUAUAUGAUUUUCAAUUAGAAAAGCAGUUUCAUUCUGCAUAAUAAACCAAUUUCCAGAGAACUAUUGCAAUCCCUUUCCAUCAUAGUUCGGGAGAAUGAGCAUAUCAACUCUUAAUUGAAAUUUAUAAGCUUUUAUGUGGACUCACUAAACUCAAAUAACAGAUCCUAAAACAAGAGCCCCCUAUGUGGUUUGUAUGUAUUAAUUUAACAGCUGCAACAUGUUAUACAGCGUGACAACUUGGCUGGCAUCUAGGCUACAUAAUAAGAGAGAUUUUUUUUAAAACAAAAUCAAAUUUGAGUGAUUUAAUUGUAAUCAAUUGAGGUUGGGGGAUGAAAAUGAAAGAACUUAGGGACUAUUGGUGCAAUUUAUCUUUUUUUUUUUGUCGGGGGGCGGAU